AGAGUUUGAUCAUGGCUCAGGAUCAACGCUGGCGGCGUGCCUUACGCAUGCAAGUCGCACGGUACUUUCGGGUACAGUGGCGGACGGGUGAGGAACACGUACGUAACCUGCCCCAAACUGGGGGAUACCGGCUCGAAAGGGCCGUUAAUACCGCAUGUGGUCUUUUAUCUGCGGAUGAGAGAGUAAAGUCGCAAGGCGGUUUGGGAGGGGCGUGCGGCGGAUUAGCUGGUUGGUGGGGUAACGGCCUACCAAGGCGACGAUCCGUAGCUGGUCUGAGAGGACGGCCAGCCACACGGGGACUGAGACACGGCCCCGACUCCUACGGGAGGCAGCAGCGAGGAAUCUUGGUCAAUGGGCGCAAGCCUGAACCAGCGACGCCGCGUGGGGGAAGAAGGCUCUUGGGUCGUAAACCCCUUUUCUGUGGGACGAAGAACUGACGGUACCACAGGAAUCAGCCACGGCUAACUACGUGCUAGCCGCCGCGGUAAUAC
rnacentral:rRNA from 1 species